GUCCUGCAGUUACACCACUUUGCUCCUUAUAUGCUCAUCACAAGCCUGUGACAACAUGGGAGGUGAUGGUGAAGUAACUGUCUUCCCUGGUCCCUGUGGUCAUGCAGAAUUAUGAGGGCUCUGAGUUAUUCCUUGGAGCCCAGACCCUCUCAUUACAAUGAUGCAAGGAUGCCCACUGGGUCUCUUGGGAUUCUGAAAGCUGUGUUAGAAGAAAGUUCUCAAUGUCCAGAGAUGUCAGGCUUGGAAUGUCAACCCUUCAGCUUCAUUACUAUGUAUUUAUUGAGUCAGCAAAAAACUCUCACACCUUCAUGGGCAAAUGCAUGUGCCAGAUACCUAAUGCACAUGUGCUAAGUACUUGGGUCCUGAAUAAGGACUUUUCAUCCGGAAGAUUCUAGUAACCCUGUGUGCUCAGAAGCCAGAUGGAAGUGGGAGAAAGCUGCAGAACAAGAAGUGACUUGCUUACACCUUCAGGACCCUUGGAAAUUGAAAACAGAGAGAAACAGAGUGGGGAAGAGGAGAGGAAGAGAAAAAGAGACACCUGCAUCUAUGUUCCACCCCUCAUGAUACUUCGUUCCUAUAAUUGAGAACUGGAGACUUGAACCUGGAUCUUUGCACAUGAUAACACGUGUUAAUUUUAUUUUUAAAUAAGCAAUUAGUGUUCAGAACAUACACGGGGAUUCUUAUGUACUCAUUAUGAUAUCUGUAAAAUUUGCCAUUUUAACUGUACAUCAACUACUUUCACUUUGCAUUUCCAGAACUUUUCAUGAUCCCAAACAGAAACGCUGUGCCCAUUAUCUCUCUGUUCUUACCCCUCUCCAGCCCCUGGCAACUGCAUCCUAUUUUCUGUCUCUUUGAGUUUA